UCUUACAGUACAAGUAAAACUAAAGGCUUCCUGUUUGCCCCCUAGUGAUGGUCUCAGAAGCCAGACAGCUCCUGCACCCCACCCACUAUUCCCUGGCCACACCUUGCGCCUACAGUCCAACCCCAUGAGUCAUCCGCCCGCGGAUUUGAUCAGGAAGCCCAGAGGCCCCGGCGUUUCCAAAGGCACACAGACCACCCUCCGGUAGAAUUACUCACCGGCCGCCAGCGCUUCACACUUCCUCUGCAAUGAAAGAGAGAACACACAAGGUCUGCAGAGAGGAUCCGGACACUUCGUGCCUGUGGAAAGAACGCUCGGUGAGCACACACACCUGAAAGCAAAACUUUAAAAAAUAAGAAAAAGGCUUGGAAGAACUGGGACUCAAAGCUGAUUCUCCUGACCCCAAUUUCAUGCUUUGACAGAAAAAGUAAGGACUUUCAUUGAGUAACUAGAAGUUUUCAGAAUGGUUAUGUGGAUGCAUUUGAAAGGUAACAAACAAACUAAAACUAACUUUUGCUAGUGAAAAAACUAAAAUAUGGGGAGAAAUAAAUCUGAAAAGAUAGAGGACAAAGUGCAUGGAUAUGAAAGAAGGCAGACAAGGAAGAAGAAUCGAGUUAUUGACAUUUUGAUGAAUUAAUGAAAUGUCAAAUGAACAAAACAUCUCUUCUCAAGAAAGGACUUAAGGGCUGGCGCCUGUAGCACACCAGGUACGUGAGUCUCGUCUUCCACCUUGAAAACGGUGCAGUGACUCAGGGGGCUUUCCUGCAGAGACGCAGGCCCAGGCUCAGCCCGAGAAGACCUGAAUUCUGGGCUCCUCCCUGCCUCGCACCACCUUCCUGGAACCUCUGGGGAAGUCUCCCUCCUGGGCCUCAAAUUCGUCAUGUGGGAAGCGUCUGGGCCACAUGGGGACAAAGGGGUUUGGCUGCUUCUCGUCCAGGUCUGAGGGCUAAUAUGAAGACGACUGUGGGGAAAAGAGAUUGACGAAGCCCCUCGGGUGCCACAGGUCCCUAAUGGUGGCCACCAGGUGAGAGCAGGCGUUCCUGGAUUCACAGGGGUGUAGCAGGCCCCACCCACUGACUACCAGAUGAGGUGCAUGUUCUGAAAAAGCCCCUCUAGCCAGACAGGGAAGAGCCUAAGGAGUGGCCAAGGCGGGAAGGAGACCAACGGGAAGCCGUAGGCUUCAUGAAGCCUCCUGGAGGUUCCGCCUGGACCUAUGACUAGUGGGUAGGAUCCGAAUGAGGGGAUGAAACAGGAUGGACACACGAAGGGCCUCAAGGCUGCCCGACGUCGGAACUCGGGCUCCACCCGCUGCACUGCUGUGGCUGUCACCUCUGAGCGUGCUGGGCCAUCCUCAUGUAUCCCAGCUAGACUGGCCUUCUUCCCCUCCCCAGCAGCUCGCCCCUCUGCUCCCCAUUGUUUCUUCCCAUCUAACAAGCUCCCACGAUUACUCGGGA